rnacentral:rRNA from 1 species
CCUGAACGCUGGCGGCGUGGCUAAGACAUGCAAGUCGCACGGAGGUAGCAAUACCUUAGUGGCGAACGGGUGAGUAAUGAAUCGCUAAUGUGCCCCGGACUCUGGGAUAGCUGCCCGAAAGGGCAGGUAAUACCAGAUGAUAUAACCGAACCGCAUGGUUUGGUUCUCAAAGGUCCGCCGGUCUGGGAGCAGGCGAUUUCGUAUCAGCUAGUUGGUGAGGUAACGGCUCACCAAGGCGACGACGCGUAGCCGGACUGAGAGGUUGGCCGGCCACAUUGGGACUGAGACACUGCCCAGACUCCUACGGGGGGCUGCAGUAACGAAUCUUCCGCAAUGCACGAAAGUGUGACGGAGCGACGCCGCGUGUAGGACGAAGCCCCUUGGGGUGUAAACUACUGUCGAGGGGAAAGAAAGUUCUGAUCUACCCCAGAGGAAGGGAC